AUAGAGAAAAUGAUAGAAGUAAGGACUGAAAAUCCUUGUGUCGGUGGUUCGAUUCCACCUCUGGGCACCA
rnacentral:tRNA from 1 species